rnacentral:rRNA from 1 species
CUCUAAGGAGACUGCCGGUGACAAACCGGAGGAAGGUGGGGAUGACGUCAAGUCAUCAUGGCCCUUACGGCCAGGGCUACACACGUGCUACAAUGGUCGGUACAAAGGGUUGCCAAGCCGCGAGGUGGAGCUAAUCCCAUAAAACCGAUCGUAGUCCGGAUCGCAGUCUGCAACUCGACUGCGUGAAGUCGGAAUCGCUAGUAAUCGUGAAUCAGAAUGUCACGGUGAAUACGUUCCCGGGCCUUGUACACACCGCCCGUCACACCAUGGGAGUGGGUUGCUCCAGAAGUAGCUAGUCUAACCGCAAGGGGGACGGUUACCACGGAGUGAUUCAUGACUGGGGUGAAGUCGUAACAAGGUAGCCGUAGGGGAACCUGCGGCUGGAUCACCUCCUUAA